ACAUGCCCAAAAAUGAUCAA
rnacentral:siRNA from 1 species